AUUGAACGCUAGCGGGAUGCCUUACACAUGCAAGUCGAACGGACUUAACUCAUUCUUUUAGAUUGAGAGCGGUUAGUGGCGGACUGGUGAGUAACACGUAAGCAACCUGCCUAUUAGAGGGGAAUAACAGUGAGAAAUCAUUGCUAAUACCGCAUAUGCUAACAGUAUCGCAUGAUACAGUUAGGAAAGGAGCAAUCCGCUAAUAGAUGGGCUUGCGUCUGAUUAGCUAGUUGGUGGGGUAACGGCCUACCAAGGCGACGAUCAGUAGCCGGACUGAGAGGUUGAACGGCCACAUUGGGACUGAGAUACGGCCCAG
rnacentral:rRNA from 1 species